rnacentral:tRNA from 1 species
GCGAGCGUAGCUCAAUGGUAGAGCGUUAGCUUCCCAAGCUCGAUACGGGGGUCCGAUUCCCCUCGCUCGCUCCA